GCAGUGGCAGUUUAGUGGUACAAUUCUCACCUUCCAUGUGGGAGACCAGGGUUCAAUUCCCAGUCAGUGCA
rnacentral:tRNA from 1 species